GUCUGGCCUGCUCACUGAUUAUUUUAAAGAGCCGCGGUAUUUUGACCGUGCAAAGGUAGCAUAAUCAUUAGUCUCUUAAUUAGAGGCUGGAAUGAAUGGCUUGACGAGAAAUCAACUGUCUCUUAAUAAAUUUUAGAAUUUAACUUUUGAGUCAAAAGGCUUAAAUUUUUCUUUAGGACGAGAAGACCCUAUAGAGCUUGACAUUUUAUUUAUAUAUAAUUUUAAGAUGGUCUUUUUAUAUUUAAUGAUAAUGUUUUGUUGGGGUGACAUGAAGAAUUAAUAAACUCUUCAUUAUUAAAUCAUUGAUUUAUGUUUAUUUUGAUCCAUAAUUUAUGAUCAAAAGAUUAAGUUACCUUAGGGAUAACAGCGUAAUUGUUUUUGAGAGCUCAUAUCGACAAAGCAGAUUGCGACCUCGAUGUUGGAUUAAGAAAAGUUUUGGGUGCAGUAGCCCAGUAAUUAGGUCUGUUCGACCUUUAAAUUCUUACG
rnacentral:rRNA from 1 species